rnacentral:rRNA from 1 species
AGAGUUUGAUCCUGGCUCAGAUUGAACGCUGGCGGCAUGCCUUACACAUGCAAGUCGAACGGCAGCGGGCCCUUCGGGGUGCCGGCGAGUGGCGAACGGGUGAGUAAUGCAUCGGAACGUACCCGGGAGAGGGGGAUAACCGGCCGAAAGGCUGGCUAAUACCGCAUGAACUCGGAAGAGCAAAGCGGGGGACCUUCGGGCCUCGCGCUCUCGGAGCGGCCGAUGUCCGAUUAGGCUAGUUGGUGGGGUAAAGGCCCACCAAGGCGACGAUCGGUAGCGGGUCUGAGAGGACGAUCCGCCACACUGGGACUGAGACACGGCCCAGACUCCUACGGGAGGCAGCAGUGGGGAAUCUUGGACAAUGGGCGCAAGCCUGAUCCAGCAAUGCCGCGUGGGUGAAGAAGGCCUUCGGGUUGUAAAGCCCUUUCGGCGGGGAAGAAAUCGGUCAGGCGAAUAGUCUGGCCGGAUGACGGUACCCGCAGAAGAAGCACCGGCUAACUACGUG